GGCGCCUCCUGCGUUCUUUUCUCGGCCGGCGCGAGAGGGGGCGUGUGUCUCUCCUAGCAAUUGCGGCUCCUUGGGACAGCAGGCCGCGACGGGAGACGGGAAGAUGGCGGGGCGCAACAAGAAGCAGCAGCAGCAGCAGCUGGCGGGCGAAAGGAACGAAAGCCCGGCCCUCCAGCAGCGAAGGGCGGGCGGAGGCCCUGCCCGUGAAGGGCAGAGACCCAAGGGAUAGUUUGUCUGCUUACAAAAAUGGCCUCCUGCGAUGAAAUGGUUGGUGCUUUGCAGAAGUGAUUCUGCUGAAUGAGAGGAAUGUAAUGUCUGAAGCAGUAGCUGUUCUGUUAAAAAAACAAUGAAAGAAAAGACAUCGAUAAAAUUACUUGUGGCUGACUUCCCGGAAGAGUAAUCGUGUGAUGUCUAAUCGUGUGAUGUCUAAUUUAGCCUGAAAAGACCUGGCUUCAAAUUCUUACUUGUCCAUAAAUUCUUCUGAGCAUAUCCCUUGUGCUCUAGAGCUCUGAGGAAAAAAUAAUGGCCUUUGAUCCAUUGUUGAGGCAAAUCAUACAGGUAUAUUGACAAUCUGCUUGUCCUGGUUUCCCCCCCCCCUCCAUCUUGUAGAAUUCAGAAAUGUAGAUGUAAAAUAGAAGUUCACCAGCUGUUUCCUUUCCCCUUUGACUGAUAAAAUUGGUCUGGAAAGGGAUUGCACCUAUGAAAAUGGAUAAAUCUUUCUCCUUCAAAAGAAAUUGUAAGAUUCUUGUUGAAAAUAUCCUCUGUUAACUUUAAAAUAUAAGUAUCUGCCCUUUGGAACAUCUUUCCCUUGGAAAACCUGGCUCUUUCCUGAGAUGAUAGGGUCAGGACUUCAGUGGACUACCAAUAGAUUAAUUGUAUGGAUACUUUUAAAGGAACUGUUGGUUACAAUAUGAUUAUUAACUGUAUUCUGUAUGAUGAAUGGAUAUCCACAACAUUUAUGACAAGAUUCCUGUGCAACAUGCAAGGGUGAGAGGGGAAGAAAGAAGGCACAAGACCAACUAUAUGACACAGUCUCCCAUACUUCACAAGCAGUUAGAAUGCAACUUCUGAGAUCUGCAAGUGGGCAUCACACACUGCUCACAGACUACCAUAUGAGGACAGAUCAUGCAUUGCAAAGAUCAUUUGAAGGUGGCAGAUGCUUCCAGUGUAAUCUACUAGAUCCCCUGCAUAGAUUGUCCCUCUGUAGGGCAGACAAGUGAGGAAGCUAACCAUUAGAUUGCAAGAACAUAAUUAAGUAGUCAGACAUGGAGAUCCAAGCUAACUGGGACUCACAUUGCAAUGAAGGAGGACAUACAUUGAAUUUUAUACCAUUAAGAUUGUUGGCUGAGCAGGUACAAAA